rnacentral:rRNA from 1 species
GGCUCAGAAUGACGCUGGCGGCGUGCUUAAUACAUGCAAGUCGAGCGAAUGGAUUAAGAGCUUGCUCUUAUGAAGUUAGCGGCGGACGGGUGAGUAACACGUGGGUAACCUGCCCAUAAGACUGGGAUAACUCCGGGAAACCGGGGCUAAUACCGGAUAACAUUUUGAACUGCAUGGUUCGAAAUUGAAAGGCGGCUUCGGCUGUCACUUAUGGAUGGACCCGCGUCGCAUUAGCUAGUUGGUGAGGUAACGGCUCACCAAGGCAACGAUGCGUAGCCGACCUGAGAGGGUGAUCGGCCACACUGGGACUGAGACACGGCCCAGACUCCUACGGGAGGCAGCAGUAGGGAAUCUUCCGCAAUGGACGAAAGUCUGACGGAGCAACGCCGCGUGAGUGAUGAAGGCUUUCGGGUCGUAAAACUCUGUUGUUAGGGAAGAACAAGUGCUAGUUGAAUAAGCUGGCACCUUGACGGUACCUAACCAGAAAGCCACGGCUAACUACGUGCCAGCAGCCGCGGUAAUACGUAGGUGGCAAGCGUUAUCCGGAAUUAUUGGGCGUAAAGCGCGCGCAGGUGGUUUCUUAAGUCUGAUGUGAAAGCCCACGGCUCAACCGUGGAGGGUCAUUGGAAACUGGGAGACUUGAGUGCAGAAGAGGAAAGUGGAAUUCCAUGUGUAGCGGUGAAAUGCGUAGAGAUAUGGAGGAACACCAGUGGCGAAGGCGACUUUCNGGUCUGUAACUACACUAGGCGGCNAC